rnacentral:ncRNA from 2 species
ACUGAUCGUAAAGCGCCAGCACUGUAGCUGCCCGACGUGGAGUACAGUGGACGAGGUGGAGGUUUAUCGAAAGAUUCGGCGGGUACCUCCCGGCAGUCGUAUCACUGCCGUGGAGCGCAGGGACAAAACAUCGGAGUGAUCGGAUGGACAAAGACCUGCGCUUGAUACGUU